rnacentral:rRNA from 1 species
UACAGAGGUCCCAAGCGUUGUUCGGAUUUACUGGGCGUAAAGGGUGCGUAGGUGGCGAGGUAAGUUCGAUGUGAAAUCUCGGAGCUCAACUCCGAAAUGGCAUUGGAAACUACCUUGCUCGAGGGUUGGAGGGGGGACUGGAAUGCUUGGUGUAGCAGUGAAAUGCGUAGAUAUCAAGCGGAACAUCAGUGGCGAAGGCGAGUCCCUGGACAACUCCUGACACUGAGGCACGAAAGCUAGGGGAGCAAACAGG